rnacentral:rRNA from 1 species
GAUGAACGCUGGCGGCGUGCCUAAUACAUGCAAGUCGAGCGAACAGACGAGGAGCUUGCUCCUCUGACGUUAGCGGCGGACGGGUGAGUAACACGUGGAUAACCUACCUAUAAGACUGGGAUAACUUCGGGAAACCGGAGCUAAUACCGGAUAAUAUAUUGAACCGCAUGGUUCAAUAGUGAAAGACGGUUUUGCUGUCACUUAUAGAUGGAUCCGCGCCGCAUUAGCUAGUUGGUAAGGUAACGGCUUACCAAGGCAACGAUGCGUAGCCGACCUGAGAGGGUGAUCGGCCACACUGGAACUGAGACACGGUCCAGACUCCUACGGGAGGCAGCAGUAGGGAAUCGUCCGCAAUGGGCGAAAGCCUGACGGAGCAACGCCGCGUGAGUGAUGAAGGUGUUCGGAUCGUAAAACUCUGUUAUUAGGGAAGAACAAAUGUGUAAGUAACUAUGCACGUCUUGACGGUACCUAAUCAGAAAGCCACGGCUAACUACGUG